AACGCGAAGAACCUUACCAAGGCUUGACAUCGCCGGAAAACCUCCAGAGAUGGGGGGUCCCUUGUGGGCCGGUGACAGGUGGUGCAUGGCUGUCGUCAGCUCGUGUCGUGAGAUGUUGGGUUAAGUCCCGCAACGAGCGCAACCCUCGUUCCAUGUUGCCAGCACGUGAUGGUGGGGACUCAUGGGAGACUGCCGGGGUCAACUCGGAGGAAGGUGGGGAUGACGUCAAGUCAUCAUGCCCCUUAUGUCUUGGGCUGCAAACAUGCUACAAUGGCCGGUACAGAGGGCUGCGAUACCGCGAGGUGGAGCGAAUCCCUUAAAGCCGGUCUCAGUUCGGAUUGGGGUCUGCAACUCGACCCCAUGAAGUCGGAGUCGCUAGUAAUCGCAGAUCAGCAACGCUGCGGUGAAUACGUUCCCGGGCCUUG
rnacentral:rRNA from 1 species